rnacentral:rRNA from 1 species
GUAAGGAAUAUUGGACAAUGGACGCAAGUCUGAUCCAGCCAUGCCGCGUGAAGGAUUAAGGUCCUCUGGAUUGUAAACUUCUUUUAUAAGGGACGAAAAAAGGCUUUUCUAAGUCGUCUGACGGUACCUUAUGAAUAAGCACCGGCUAACUCCGUGCCAGCAGCCGCGGUAAUACGGAGGGUGCAAGCGUUAUCCGGAUUCACUGGGUUUAAAGGGUGCGUAGGCGGGCAGGUAAGUCAGUGGUGAAAUCCUAGAGCUUAACUCUAGAACUGCCAUUGAUACUAUCUGUCUUGAAUAUUGUGGAGGUAAGCGGAAUAUGUCAUGUAGCGGUGAAAUGCUUAGAUAUGACAUAGAACACCUAUUGCGAAGGCAGCUUACUACGCAUAUAUUGACGCUGAGGCACGAAAGCGUGGGGAGCAAACAGGAUUAGAAACCCGUGUAGUCC